ensembl:snRNA U6 U6 spliceosomal RNA
GUGCUAGCUUGGACAGCACAAAGUGAAACUGGAUGGACACAGAGAAUAUUAGUAUGGCCAUGUGAAAGGAUAACUAAGUCAAUCUGUGAGACAUUCCAUAUUUUU